AUGACUGUCUCAAAUAAAAACCAGUCCAGACACCAACCCAGUCCAGAUACCAACCCAGUUCAGAUACCAACCCAGUCCAGACACCAACCCAGUCCAGAUACCAACCCAGUCCAGAUACCAACCCAGUCCAGAUACCAACCCAGUCCAGACACCAACCCAGUCCAGAUACCAACCCAGUCCAGACACCAACCCAGUCCAGACACCAACCCAGUCCAGAUACCAACCCAGUCCAGACACCAACCCAGUCCAGACACCAACCCAGUCCAGAUACCAAUCCAGUCCAGAUACCAACCCAGUCCAGACACCAACCCAGUCCAGACACCAACCCAGUCCAGACACCAACCCAGUCCAGACACUAACCCAGUCCAGACACCAACCCAGUCCAGACACCAACCCAGUCCAGACACCAACCCAGUCCAGACACCAACCCAGUCCAGAUACCAACCCAGUCCAGACACCAACCCAGUCCAGACACCAACCCAGUCCAGAUACCAACACCAACCCAGUCCAGACAUCAACCCAGUCCAGACACCAACCCAGUCCAGACACCAACCAAGCCCAGACAUCAACCCAGUCCAGACAUCAACCCAGUCCAGACACCAACACCAACCCAGUCCUGACACCAACACCAACCCAGACCAGACACCAACCCAGUCCAGACACCAACACCAACCCAGUCCAGACAUCAACCCAGUCCAGACAUCAACCCAGUCCAGACAUCAACACCAACCCAGUCCAGACAUCAACCCAGUCCAGACACCAACCCAGUCCAGACACCAACCCAGUCCAGACAUCAACCCAGUCCAGACAUCAACACCAACCCAGUCCAGACAUCAACCCAGUCCAGACACCAACCCAGUCCAGACACCAACCCAGUCCAGACACCAACACCUACCCAGUCCAGACACCAACACCAACCCAGUCCAGACAUCAACCCAGUCCAGACACCAACACCAACCCAGUCCAGACACCAACCCAGUCCAGAUACCAACCCAGUCCAGAUACCAACCCAGUCCAAACACCAACACCAACCCAGUCCACAUACCAACCCAGUCCAGACACCAACCCAGUCCAGUCACCAACCCAGUCCAGAUUCCAACCCAGUCCAGACAUCAACCCAGUCCAGACAUCAACCCAGUCCAGACACCAACCCAGUCCAGAUACCAACCCAGUCCAGUCACCAACCCAGUCCAGAUUCCAACCCAGUCCAGACAUCAACUAAGUCCAGACAUCAACCCAGUCCAGACACCAACCCAGUCCAGAUACCAACCCAGUCCAGACAUCAACCCAGUCCAGACCCUAUAG
rnacentral:lncRNA from 1 species